UCCUGCUUUUCGGUGUGCUCUUCGAGGCCACCAUGAUCGACCCCACCGUGGCCUCCCAGCCCAUCAGCUUCGAGAUCUCCAUUGGUCGCGCAGGCCGUCUGGAGGAGCAAUUGGGCCGAGGGUCCAGGGCUGGGGAGGGAACUGAGGGUGCAGCCGUGGAGGCUCAGCCUCUGCUGGGAGCCAGGCCAGAGGAGGAGAAAGAGGAGGAAGAACUGGGGACCCAUGCUCAGCGGCCUGAGCCCAUGGACGGCAGUGGGCCAUACUUCUGCUUGCCCCUCUGUCACUGCAAGCCAUGCAUGCAUGUGUGGAGUUGCUGGGAGGACCACACCUGGCGCCUGCAGAGCAGCAACUGCGUGCGCAAAGUGGCCGAGAGGCUGGACCAGGGGCUGCAGGAGGUUGAGAGACUGCAGCGCAAGCCGGGGCCUGGCGCCUGUGCACAGCUCAAGCAGGCACUGGAAGUACUGGUGGCUGGGAGCAGACAGUUUUGCCACGGUGCCGAGCGCAGGACGAUGACCCGGCCCAAUGCCCUGGAUCGAUGCCGAGGGAAACUCCUGGUGCACAGCCUGAACCUUUUGGCUAAGCAAGGACUGCGACUUCUACGCGGCCUGAGACGGCGCAAUGUGCAAAAGAAGGUGGCACUGGCCAAGAAGCUCCUGGCAAAACUGCGCUUUCUGGCUGAGGAGGCACCCGGGGCAGCCCCUGGUGAGGUCUGUGCCAAGCUGGAGCUCUUCCUGCGGCUGGGCCUGGGCAAGCAAGCCAAGGCCUGCACCUCUGAGCUGCCCCCGGAUUUGCUGCCCGAGCCCUCAGCCGGGCUGCCCUCCAGCCUACACCGGGACGACUUUAGCUACUUCCAACUCCGGGCUCACUUGUACCAGGCCCGGGGUGUGUUGGCUGCAGAUGACAGUGGCCUCUCGGACCCCUUUGCUCGAGUCCUCAUCUCUACCCAGUGUCAGACCACACGGGUCCUGGAGCAGACGCUGAGCCCUCUGUGGGAUGAACUCCUGGUAUUUGAGCAGUUGAUCGUGGAUGGGAGGAGGGAGCACCUGCAGGAGGAGCCUCCAUUAGUGAUCAUCAAUGUAUUUGACCACAAUAAGUUUGGCCCCCCCGUGUUCCUGGGCAGGGCACUGGCCGCCCCAAGGGUAAAGCUGAUGGAGGACCCAUACCAACGCCCAGAGUUGCAGUUCUUCCCCCUGAGGAAGGGACCCUGGGCAGCCGGAGAGCUCAUUGCCGCCUUUCAACUCAUUGAACUAGACUACAGUGGCCGACUUGAGCCCUCAGUGCCCAGUGAGGUGGAGCCCCAGGAUCUGGCACCCCUGGUUGAGCCCCACUCUGGACGCCUGUCCCUUCCACCCAACGUGUGCCCAGUGCUCAGGGAGUUCCGUGUUGAGGUGCUGUUCUGGGGUCUUAGGGGACUUGGUCGUGUGCAUCUGCUCGAGGUGGAGCAGCCCCAGGUUGUACUGGAGGUGGCUGGGCAAGGUGUGGAGUCUGAGGUCCUGGCCAGCUACCGUGAGAGCCCCAAUUUCACUGAGCUUGUCAGGCAUCUGACAGUGGUGAGGCCACGGGCUAGGGGAAAAGGGGGGCAGAAUAGUGAAAGAGGGCAGUGGAUGGUGACUUUCUACCUGGUUAUCUUAGAUGAUCCAAGGGUCAGCAAACUCUCUAUAAUGGGCCAAAUAGUAAAUAUUUUAGGCUUUGAGAGCCAUCCAGUCUGUUGCAACUACUCAACUCUGCCAUCGUAGCAUGAAAACAGCCAUAGAUAAUAUGUAAAUGAAUAUUUACAAAAACUGACAGCAGGCCAGACUCUGUCUAUGGGCUGUAGUUUGCUGAUUCCUGGAUUAAUUCAUGGACUUGUGGUGCUCUCUAGGUGUUACUGUUAUUCAGACCUCUUGAACAAGCCUCUUUGAUUAUUUUCUGUCUAUCCAUUAUUGAGAAUAGGGUAUUGAAAUCUCCAGCUAUUACUAAUGAAUUGUGUAUCUCUCUCUUUAAUUCUAUAACUUUUUAGUUUUUGUAUUUUGAGGCUCUGUUGUUAGGUGCAUAUAUGUUUAUAAUUGUUAUAUCUUCUAGAUGAAUUGACCUGUUUACCAUUAU
ensembl:lncRNA novel transcript